AGUUAUGAAUAUAGCGAAUCACUUAAUAUACCGGAUCCCAUUAGAAUUUCGAAGUUAAGUGUGUUUGGGCGAAUGGGGUAAUAGGAUGGAUGACCUCCCAGAAAGGUGGUAUUGUACCUU
rnacentral:rRNA from 1 species